GAUGAACGCUGGCGGCGUGCCUAAUACAUGCAAGUCGAGCGAACAGACGAGGAGCUUGCUCCUCUGACGUUAGCGGCGGACGGGUGAGUAACACGUGGAUAACCUACCUAUAAGACUGGGAUAACUUCGGGAAACCGGAGCUAAUACCGGAUAAUAUAUUGAACCGCAUGGUUCAAUAGUGAAAGACGGUUUUGCUGUCACUUAUAGAUGGAUCCGCGCCGCAUUAGCUAGUUGGUAAGGUAACGGCUUACCAAGGCAACGAUGCGUAGCCGACCUGAGAGGGUGAUCGGCCACACUGGAACUGAGACACGGUCCAGACUCCUACGGGAGGCAGCAGUAGGGAAUCUUUCGCAAUGGGCGAAAGCCUGACGGAGCAACGCCGCGUGGGUGAUGAAGGUCUUCGGAUCGUAAAACUCUGUUAUUAGGGAAGAACAAAUGUGUAAGUAACUAUGCACGUCUUGACGGUACCUAAUCAGAAAGCCACGGCUAACUACGUG
rnacentral:rRNA from 1 species